CAUUAAAUGAUUAUUAUCAGGAUGUUGUCAUCGGAAACCCCUACUAGUACCUGGAGGAAGAGCUUUUGUUUGGCCGGGUAUUCAAUAUGUUCAAAGAAUAAAUCUGACCACCAUGACGUUAUCUGUGACCUCCUCUGGGGUGUACACUAGUCAGGGUGUCAAUAUCACCGUGACAGGAAUAGCUCAGGUUAAGAUCCAGGGACAGAAUGAGGAGAUGCUCCUGGCAGCCUGUGAACAGUUUCUUGGCAAGACAGAGGAUGAAAUACAACAGGUUGCACUAGAGACACUAGAGGGUCAUCAGCGAGCCAUCAUGGGGUCAAUGACUGUGGAGGAGAUCUACAAGGACCGGAAGAAGUUCUCAAAGCAGGUGUUUGAGGUGGCCAGCAGCGACCUGGUCAACAUGGGGAUCACGGUGGUCUCAUAUACCCUUAAAGAUAUCAGGGAUGAGGAGGGGUAUCUUAAGGCUCUAGGAAUGGCCCGAACAGCUGAAGUUAAAAGAGAUGCUAGAAUAGGAGAAGCAGAAGCUAAGAGGGACGCACAGAUUAAAGAAGCAAUUGCAGAAGAAGAAAGGAUGGCAUCUAGAUUACUUAACGAUACUGAGAUCGCCAAAGCAAAGCGUGAUUUUGAGCUGAAGAAAGCAGCUUAUGACGUGGAAGUACAAACAAAGAAAGCAGAAGCAGAAUUAGCCUAUGAGUUACAAGCAGCAAAGACAAAACAAAGAAUUAAAGAAGAGAACAUGGAAAUAAAGGUGAUGAUGAUAAUGAUGAUACUCCAGGUUAUUGAACGAAGACAAGAAAUUAAUAUACAAGAGCAGGAAAUUUUAAGACGAGAAAAAGAAUUGGACAGUUCUGUGAGAAGACCAGCGGAAGCUGAAAAGUAUAGACUAGAGAAGAUUUCAGAAGCUAACAGGAACAAGAUGAUCAUGGAAGCUGAAGCAGAAGCAGAAGCUAUUGCACUGAAAGGAGAUGCUGAGGCGUAUGCCAUAGAAAUCAAAGCUAAGGCUGAAGCUGAACAGAUGGCUAAGAAGGCAGAUGCCUGGAAGGAAUAUAGAGAAGCUGCCAUGUUGGACAUGAUGCUCACUACACUACCAAAGAUUGCUGCCGAGGUAGCUGCCCCUCUCUCCCAAACGAAGAAGAUCACGAUGGUUAGCGAUGGUUCAGGGGAAAUAGGAGCCUCCAGGAUAACCGGCGAGGUUCUGGAUAUAAUGGUCCGUGUACCGGGGAUGGUGAAGACAAUGACCGGAGUUGAUAUUUGCAACGUAAGACCAGGACGAACAAUGUGCUAAAUGUACUGCAGAUAUUGUACUGCACCUAGAUGUUCUAGAUGGAUGUUUACAUAUGAAUGUUGGAGGGGGCCCACCUAGAAGUCCACAACCAAGAAUCCGAAUUAGAACAUAAUUAUUUCGACAUACAGACAUAGGAAUAUUU
rnacentral:misc_RNA from 1 species